rnacentral:rRNA from 1 species
UCUUGAAAUUUAAAGAAUUUGGCGGUAUUUUAGUCUAUUUAGAGGAACCUGUUCUAUAAGCGAUAAUCCACGUAAUAUCUUACUUUACUUUGUGUUCAGUUUGUAUACCGCCAUAAUUUGGCUUUAUUGAAAAAUAGAUUCCACAAUAAAUAAUUUUUAGCACAUUAGGUCAAGGUGCAGCUUAUAUUAAAGUAGUUAAUGGGUUACAAUAUAAUUUAUAUAUACGAAAAGAGGGGUUAAAGCCGCUCUAGAAGGCGGAUUUAAUAGUAUUUUGAGUUUAAUAUGCUCAAGUGAAGGUGCUCUAAAAUAUGUACACAU